GGACUUUUGGUAUAGCAUUGGAAAUGUAAAUGAGCUAAAUACCUAAUAAAAAAUGGGGAAAAAAAGAGUGCUACAACCUCUGGAACUAAUACUCAAAACAUGAGCCUUUGGGAGGACAUUGCAGCUCCACAGCCUAGCACACUCACCUCCCCUAUUUCUGUUUUCUGUGCUUUUCUUUGAUAAAGUUUGGGUGACUGAUAGGCAGGUAGCGCAUCUUUGCAGCAUCUGUUCCUGUAUCAUUUGGAAUCAAAUUGUCCCCUGUAAAUCUAUCUCUCCAUUUGUAAUUACUGAGUAACUCUUGGAGGAGUGGUUUUGUGACUAUCUAUCAUGUCAUUAAACAGCCAUUCGUAGCUUUAACACCUAUGGAUUUUUUUUAACUGAAAUGUGUACUAAGCUGAGGCUGCUUUGUAAAUUUCAUCACUUUUAAUACCUUUGUUAGGUAUCAUGAGAGGUUCACUUUCUUUUCCAUAUCUUUGUUCAUUUAUAUAGAUAAGAAUGGACUCUGAUUCUCAUUGUGUGUACUUGUCACCACUAUCAUUAAUAUCAAUAUCCAGACAGCCUUUAUUAGGUCAACAAGGUGGUCUCCAUCUGUCCAUCAGACCUGCUAUUGUUAUUCUAUUUUUUCUACUCUCUGGCACAGUUAUGAAAUCAUCUGAGAUUUUUAAUGGUCAGGCUUGGAACCAGUUUUCUCCAGUAAAACUGGUUACUGUGAACACGCCACUGUUCACAGGGUACUGGACACAGAUAAGAACAUGUGUACAUGUAUGAAUGCAAUCAUGUGUACAAAAUCUACCUUUGUGUUAGUACCAGUAUCUAUACAUUGGAAGCCAUGGAUUUGUUUUAAUUACUUUAAUUCCCCAGGAAAGUCACAGGGGUUCAGUGUAGCCUUUUGCCUCUCUACAUUGGCUUCUCACAGUGGGAACCUAGUUCUUCACGUUUGCUCUUUUAACUUUCAGCUUUAGCAAGCACACAGUAGGUCCAGGACUGCACAUCUGCACCACUUUGCAAGGCAAAUUCCACAUUGCCUUGUAGUUUUUCUUGCUCAAGGACAGAGUGUUGGGAUACCUGAAGGCAACAUCAUUUGAGGGUUUUGUCUUCUUCACUCUGGUUGUAUAUUUCCUUUGCAAUACAGAGAGACUGCCUCAGUUUUUUGUUUUAUCCCACUUUGAACUACUUCUCCCCAUUCCUCUUGCCUGUAUUAAUCUGUCUCCCUGAUUCUAGAAACCACAAGUGUGUGGAAAGAUGUUUUAAAAACUCAUUUCCCCAAGUGUGUGCUCUGUUCUCAUGUAACUGUGAGAUUUAAAUUCUAUUAUCAGCCACCCACUGUUGAAAAGCAGUCCAUGUUCUUUCUGGGUUUCCUUUUUCCCAACUGAGCAAAGUCAUACAACUAUGUACCCUUACUUCAUCUUCUUGCUUAUACAAAGCAGCAAGAUUUUGGUUUGCUUUGAUUUGCAUAUAAGCUAUUCCCUGUGAAUAAAUUCUUUUUUAUUAUAUACUAUAGUACAUCUAAUAUAGUUUUGUAAUAGCAUUUAUAUGGAUGUCCUGUAAUUUAUCAAACUGCUUUGUUUUGUAUGAGCAUGCAGGCUUUUAUGCAUUUUAUAAUCAUAAGUGAUAAUGCAAUGGAUAAAGUUGUGGUGCAUUUUCAUAUGGAUGUAAUAUCUAUAGUAAAUUCCCAGAUGUGGCAUUGCAGAUGCAGAAGGAAGAACAUGAACAAUUCCAUUCUAAAGUGUCAUACCAGCUUGCAAUCCAGUCAUCAAAAAACGAGGCCUUGGGUGCCAGUAUUUAGCAUGAGAAAACAUAGCAACUGGCCAAACCUCAACAGUAAUUACACCCUCCAAAUAAAAGAAAAGAUGAUUUUUUUGAAAGAUUAAAAUCAGGAAGAUGAGAGAAAAUGGUAAGACCAAACCAAAUGUGCUUUUUACAAUAUUUCUUUUUCUUUUUCUUUUUUAAAAAAUUAGAUAUUUUAUUUACUAAUCCAUCUUUUGUGAUGCCCUGUGAGACGUAGAUAUAAGAGUUGUAUUGUAGAUGCAUCCAUAAAGGUUGGGAUCCCCACAGUUCCCUAUUCUCUGUAUUUGACCAACUGUGGAUUUCAUUAAUAGUUUUUAUCUGUUGCAGAAGGAAGUUUCUUUGAGAAGGAAUAGGGGCUCUACUGAUCUGUGGGUAUAAAGAUAAGCAUUUAGGAAUUAUAUUGCUUUAAGAAAGUGACAAUAGUAAGCUCUCCUUUCAGCAAUAGACCUUGCUUUGAAAAAAAUGAGUAAAAGAUUAAAGUAAAACAAAAAAAAAAAACAAACUCCAGUGAAAAUUUGUGUCAAGGUUUUCAUUUGAACUUGUCUUUACUGCUCUGUAGGACAUGGGGAUUCAGGAUUACCCUCUCCUGUUUUAUGUGUACCUCAAUAGAACACCUACAGAGAGCUGUGACCCUGUAGCCAAUUGCUUUGUGUAUCUAUCCCUUCUUGCACAAUAUUGUACUGUUGUCAGUCUUUACAAACAUCUAGUGCCAUCUGGGGUCUAAUUCUGAUGAACUGUGCACCAAGGAAAAUAGACUGAAAAAUACUCCAAGGACUGACAUUAGGGACAUUUUUCACCUACCAUAGUCCCUGUCCCCUGAAAACAUUCCUCAGAGUGGUUUUUAAGCAGUCUGCUUGACAUUUUUAAUUAAUCAUUCCAUUUGUUUACAUCUCAAAUGAUAUCCUAUUUCCCAGUUACACUUUCACAAGCCCCCAUCCCACAACCUCCCUCUCCUCCCUCUCCUUUGCCUCUAUGAGGGUGCUCCCCCAUCCACCCAUCGUCUCCUGCCCCACCCAACCAACAUCCUCCUACUCUGGGACAUCAAACCUCCUGAGGACCAAGGGCCUCCCCUCCCAUUGAUGUCAGACAAGGCCAUUCUCUGCUACAUAUGUAUCUGAAGCCAUGGAUCCCCCAUAUACACUACUUGGUUGGUAGUCUAGUCCCUGGGAGCACUGGGUGAUCCAGCCAGCUGAUGUUGUUCUUCCUAUGGGGUUGCAACCCCCCUCAGUCCUUCCUCCAGUUCCCCAACCAGGGUCCCUGAGCUCAGUCUGGUGGUUGACUCCAAGCAUCCACAUCUGCAUUGGUCAGUUGCUGGCUGAACCUCCCAAGGAGCAGCCAUACCAGGCUCCCAUCAGCAAGUGCCUCUUGGCAAUGGCAACAGUGUUAAGUUUGGUGUCUGCAGACAGAAUGGAUCCCCAGGUGGGGCAGUCCUCAUAUGGCCCUUCCUUCAGUCUCUGCUCCCUGUUCUUCCUUUGGACAGGAACAUUUCUGGGUUAAAAUCUUUGAGAUGGGUAUGUGGCUCCAUUGAUUAAGCAUUAAGGCAAUGUUCUCGUGUGAACCAUUCUGGGGGCUACAGCAGGUUCAUGAAUUUGGUCCCACCCUCAGUAUACCUCGAUAUUGAGAAAACAAAGGUGAAUUAACAGACUAGUCAUGAAAUUAAUUGUUUCUGUGCUACUGGAUGGCUUAGUUCUGGGUCUCGCCAUCCUGAGGUUAGCUCUCCAGAUGGGAUCUGACAAGGGAAUGUGGGCUUCUGUGUGGUAUCAUUUUUAUUAAGUGCCUUUGUCUUCAGGGGCAUACUUCAAUGCCCUUUAGAUAAAUGGCUUCUGUCUUUGAUAAUGACAGUGACAAUAGUUCCAAGCUUCACAUAUCCAAGAUCCAAAUGACAGGACAAAAUUGUACAUUAGAAUUGCUUGGUAAGUGAAAGAUAGGGUGUAAAAAUCUUCUUUCUGCUUUAGUGAAACAAGUUAAUAUAGUAUGGAUAAGAGAAGCAAAUUUAC
rnacentral:lncRNA from 1 species